CAGAGAGUAGUGGAGCCAUGUAGAAUCCAUUGCAGAGAGUGGAGUAGGGUAGUGGUCGUUGUCGUGACCUGCUAGAGAGUUCAGAUCUGUCGACUGGAGCUUAGCUGGGAUGUCUGAUGGAGCGGAAUGGCUCUCUAUCCCAUCGAUCUAGGAGAAGCUCGGAUAUUUUCAAGGCUGCUGAUGAGUCUACUGUUGUCGGAUGCCUCAUGCACUGAUGCCACAGGUGGGAGUCAUCUACUGUAGAAGCUCGGAUGGAGACUUUCCAUUGGUGAAAUCCGGUAGGAGUCCGAUUGCUAGAGAAGUCCGUCUGGGAUUCACCUGAUGUGGAAGCUCGUCUGAAGAUUGUCCGUCGGAGAAGUCCGGUUUCAUGAAGAAUC
rnacentral:lncRNA from 1 species